rnacentral:misc_RNA from 1 species
AACGCACAUUGCGCCCUCUGGCAUUCCGGAGGGCACACCUGUUCGAGCGCCGUCGCAACAUUGAGGCCCAGCCUUGCGUUGGCGGACGACUCCCUCGCGAGUCGCCGCCCAAACUCCGACGGCGCCGCACCGCGGCCGACGAUGCGCGAAAUGCAAAGUCGGGCGCGAGAGGGCGGCGGCCUUGUUUCACCGAAUCAAAGCUUGGCCUCGAAUCAGGUGGGGAUACCCGCUGAACUUAA